UCUUGCUUGUCACAUGUGAGCUGCUUUUCAUCAGAGGGUCUCAAAGUGUGCAUUUAUGCUGACCUUUGAAAACCAAAAGUGGAAUUUCCCCACCUCGGCACAACACUGUGGAGUUUCAUUUCAAAACCUGUGACGGAGGGGCCUUUGAUCGAUUUAAUCACAGUGUUUGCUUGAAGUAAACAAAAUGUCAUGGGAGAUCCGAAGGUGAAAAAAAAGAUUCACAAGGACUCUUUAAUCUAAAACACCUUUUUCACAAUGAUUGCAAAAUGUGUUCAUAAAUGACAGAUCAAGGGUGUCCAACUCAUUUUGGUUGGCGGGCCAUAUUUAUGGCAAUUGGAUCUCACAUGGGCCGGACUAGCCAAAUAAGUGAACUCACCGGCUGUCGUUGCACGUUCAAUCUAUGUUGACUGGGAGUGGGCGAAUAAGUAUACAAGGAAGUGCCCCAAAAUGAACAGGAACUGACCCAAAAUCAGCUAGAAAUGGCCCCAAAAUCCCCUGAAAUCAACAAGAAAGGAUCGAAAAUAUACAAGUCACCCUUGAAUGCCCCAAAAUCAUUGGAAAGUGUAAGUAAGUCCCUCGAAAUCAACAGAAAUUGACCGAUGAGCAGGAAGCUACUCGGAAAUGCCCUGAAAUCAACAGGAAAUGAUCCAAAACGAACAGGAUGUGACCAAUGAAUGAGAGGGCUUGGGUUUUCAUAGGGACGGUAGGGACAUAACACUAGCAACUUUCCAGGAGGCUCAAAUUGUCCCCACAAAGUUUUAAGCAACCUUAUUUGCAUUGCAGAAAGAUUUCAGUUAGAUAGGUAAUUUAGAUUGUCUUCCCAAAUGUUUUAAUUAUAAAAUAGACCUUCCGAGAGAAUAGAACUUUAUUGUCGUUGUCAGCAAUAACGUUGUCAACAACGAAAUUUGACGUGGCACUCUGUCCCGACUAGUCGACGUCAUCGAUGACGUAAAUGCGUCAACAAGCACAUGAUCCCGUCGAGGGUUACUGAAGAGUUUUAAAAAAAAAAUACGUGUGGAAAAUUGAGAAUGUCAACGCUCAAGCAGAACGUGGCACAAAGCCAAAAAAACGGACCAGAGUGGCCAAAACAUUGACUUAUUUCAACAAAACAAAGGAGGGCACACUGUUGCAUCCUGUCUCUUCAACGCCAAGCUUGGCUGCACAUCGGCUGUGAAUGAACACCUCAAGCGCCGUCACCCAGUUGUAAUUUUGGAAGACGACAGGAGACAACAAGCUGGCAGAUCAAUGAGAGGCCGCGCGGCUGUCGUGUGAGGAAGGUUGACCACCUUCAUGCUGCCCUCUAGUGGUAGUUCAUGGCCCAAGUAUAGCAGCUGUUGGUGCUGGACCUCAAUUCCAGUCUGCAUGGCCACCUCCUCAAAGAAGCCAGAAAUCCUAAGACGCAGUGCGCCGCGGCUUGCCGGAGAGCAAACAAGUGCACCGGCUGUCGUUGCAAGAUGUCCGUGGUGGCUGUGAAGAACUGCUCGAAUGCCCAACACCUCUCUUGAUCUGCUUCGAGUAUACCGGCAAGUACGGGGACCAGAUGCAUCUUGAGACCUCUAGAAAUAGACAUUCAAACAUGACAUGGGUAUUCUUCAGUUCCGUAGAUGGACACAAACUUCUCGUCAUCCUCCAACUCUCUGGCCGCUCCAAAGUCAGUCAGCUUAUAAACGGACCUACCGUCCUCGCCCGUCUGCCUCAUUAUGUUGCCAGGUUUGAUAUCUCUGUGAACCACGCCGUUCUCUCGAAGGUGGUUCAUUCCCUGCACUGAAAUGCAACGGAAUGGGGAAAAGAAAAAAUGCAAUAAACGGGUAGCUUAGGUUAGCAAUCUUUUUCAACUGAGGGUAAAUUCUUGGCUACUGGUGAGUUCUAAGACAAACAUCUGAGUAAAUACAUUUGUUAAAAUGAUUAGCAGGUGGUCAUUGUGUUGGCAAGAUUGUUAUAAAUGACCUUUACACUUGAGGUUUCUUUUCAAAUACUGCCAUUUCCACGACACAAAUGUGAUUACGAGGUAAAACUUGAAAAUGGAGAAAUGGUGAUGGUAGCCGUGUUGUGAUGGUUGGUAUAUCGGGUCAUUUCCUGUCAUAUGCGAAGUGGCCGAAAAUGUCAUUGCAUGUGAUUGACUUUCCUAUAUAUGAAUUUAAAAUUAAGACUUUGCCAGUAAAAUGUUGUAAAGCAAUGAAGCAAUAAAACAACAAAAAAGAAUAAAAUGAAAAAAAAAAAAAAAAAAUUGUUAUAAUGGGUCAAAAUUUUUCGAACAGUUCAUGUGACUCGCACCUCAGAGGUCAAUUGCUUUGCUUAACCAAAACCACCUAAGCAUAGAAGAGGCAAGAUAUUUUUUUCCAAACCUAAUCUUUCAAAAGCGAAAACAACUAAUGAGCGAGAACCAAGGAUUGAAGAUGUGCACCGUUAAACAACAGACAACAACGCCACUCUCACACCCCCACACUCUGGUUCCGCUCACAUGAGGCUGUAAGUUGUUUCAGUUCAUGCAUGUUGGUGUAGGCAUUUGUGGUUAAGUUUGGCGAUACUGUUCAUUUAGUUAAAUUUAGCGAUUUGCUAUGAGAGAAGUGUAAAUACGUUAGCAUUUGUAGCAUCCAAGCUAGCGGGCUUUAUUUUGCAGAUUGGGCUAAUAUGAUUGACUAAAUUUACAUAUUGAUUGUACUGGAGGAUCUUUUGACGUGCAUCUUAAAGAAAAAACGUAAAUGUUUACAUUACCUUCAA